AUGAUUUUUUUACCAUAUAUAACAAAAAAAGUACAACAAAUGAAUAAUAUAACUAUGAUAAAUUAUUAUAACAAAAUAUAUCAAUUUUGUACAAACGUAUGUAUAUAUAAUGAUACAAAUUUUGACAUUUUUUUUUUACAUAAUAAUUAUAAAAAUUAUAUUUAUUCAAAAAAAUGUACAUACAUUAAUGCAUUCAAUUUUAAUAUAAAUAAUUUUUGUUUACUUCUUUUGUAUGAAAAAAAAUUAUAUACAUCUAAUACUUUAUCAAAGUAUACAUUAUAUAAAAAAAGAAAUACGAAUUUAAUUAAAAAAACGAAUGAAAUUAAUUGUGACAAUAGUGAAGAUAUAUAUUCAUUUGAAUUAAAAAAAGGUUUAAGUAGGUUUUACAAAUCUUUAAAAUAUGGAGACUCCAUAAAUGGUCAAAUAGAAGAUAAAUAUAAUGUAUAUGAAACAUCAGUAUUUUUACAUUUACUUAAAAAUGAUGCCACUGGUUUUUUAGCCAAUGGUUCUGUUGCUAACGGUUCUGUUGGUAACGGUUCUAUUGGUAACGGUACUGUUGCUAACGGUUCUGUUGGUAACGGUUCUGUUGUUAAAUCUGAUAAAGACAAACAUACGGAAUUAACAAAUAAUAACUCUCGUUAUAAUAAAUACCAUAUAUAUAAUUCAAUACGAAGGAAAUUUAUUAAGUUACUUUUAAAUGAAGAAAGUAGUAAUAAUAUAUGUUUGGGUAUAUCUCAUUUUCCUACUUCUGGAGGUACUACAAAUUAUGUUACUGAUGGAACACCUGCUCCUUACAUACAAAUUAAACUACACAUACUACACAGUAAGAACCACUAUAACAACAAUAACAACAACAAUAAUAACAGUAACAACAAUAAUAACAAUAACAACAAUAAUAACAAUAAUAACAAUAAUAACAAUAAUAACAAUAACAACAAUAAUAACAAUAACAACAACAGUAACAACAACAGUAACAAUAGAAACUCUUCAGUAUUCAUACGAAUAAAAUGUAGUACUGUUUUAAAAAAUACUUUACCUAUACCUGUAUACUACCAAAAUGCAUAUAAAUUAAAAAAAAUAAAUCCAUUUCGUGUUAAACAACUUUUAUCUCCAUUAGUGAAUUUUAAUGUAAAGGGAAACACAGUCGACAGUAAUAAAAUAAAUAUAAUUUAUGAACAAAAAAAAAAAAAGAAAAUAAAAAAUAAAAAAAAAAUAAACGAAAAUGAAAAUAAAAAUGAAAAUAAAAAUAAAAAUAAAAACGAAAAUAAAAAUAAAAACGAAAAUAAAAAUAAAAACGAAAAAUGUUAUUAUAAUAACAUUUUUAGUAAUUAUAACACAUUUUUUAAUCACAAAAACAUUAUAAAUGCUGAAUUUAUUUAUAUCAGUAACACAAAUACAUAUGGAGGAAAACGUUUUAUAAUAAAAAAAAUAAACUUAUUUUUUUUUUCACCUAUAUAUGUUCAUUUAUCACUAGACACAAUUGAAAAGUUUUAUUAUUAUUAUGAAAAAUGUUUUAAAAAAAAGGUGAAAAAAAUUAAUAAUAUUAAAAAAAAAAUACAAAUCUUAAAAAAGGAAACACUAUUAUGUUUUCCUUUGACAAUAAUAAUAAUUGUAGUGAUAGUAUUAAAACCAAUUUAUUUAAUAAAAAAAAAUGUGUCAUAAUUGUGGUAGUACAAACAACAACACUCAUACAUUUUUCCAUCCUAAUAUACUGAAAAAAAAGAAAAAUAAACAAACCAAAAUAAAAGUUGAACUUUUAAAA
rnacentral:lncRNA from 1 species